GGGUUGUGAGGUUAAGCGACUAAGCGUACACGGUGGAUGCCCUGGCAGUCAGAGGCGAUGAAGGGCGUGCUAAUCUGCGAUAAGCGCCGGUAAGGUGAUAUGAACCGUUAUAACCGGCGAUACCCGAAUGGGGAAACCCAGUGUGACUCGUCACACUAUCAUUAACUGAAUCCAUAGGUUAAUGAGGCGAACCGGGGGAACUGAAACAUCUAAGUACCCCGAGGAAAAGAAAUCAACCGAGAUUCCCCCAGUAGCGGCGAGCGAACGGGGAGGAGCCCAGAGCCUGAAUCAGCAUGUGUGUUAGUGGAAGCGUCUGGAAAGGCGCGCGAUACAGGGUGACAGCCCCGUACACAAAAGCGCAUGUGCUGUGAGCUCGAUGAGUAGGGCGGGACACGUGGUAUCCUGUCUGAAUAUGGGGGGACCAUCCUCCAAGGCUAAAUACUCCUGACUGACCGAUAGUGAACCAGUACCGUGAGGGAAAGGCGAAAAGAACCCCGGCGAGGGGAGUGAAAAAGAACCUGAAACCGUGUACGUACAAGCAGUGGGAGCACCCUUUGGGUGUGACUGCGUACCUUUUGUAUAAUGGGUCAGCGACUUAUAUUCUGUAGCAAGGUUAACCGAAUAGGGGAGCCGGAGGGAAACCGAGUCUUAAUUGGGCGUUAAGUUGCAGGGUAUAGACCCGAAACCCGGUGAUCUAGCCAUGGGCAGGUUGAAGGUUGGGUAACACUAACUGGAGGACCGAACCGACUAAUGUUGAAAAAUUAGCGGAUGACCUGUGGCUGGGGGUGAAAGGCCAAUCAAACCGGGAGAUAGCUGGUUCUCCCCGAAAGCUAUUUAGGUAGCGCCUCGUGAAUUCAUCUCCGGGGGUAGAGCACUGUUUCGGCUAGGGGGCCAUCCCGGCUUACCAACCCGAUGCAAACUGCGAAUACCGGAGAAUGUUAUCACGGGAGACACACGGCGGGUGCUAACGUCCGUCGUGAAGAGGGAAACAACCCAGACCGCCAGCUAAGGUCCCAAAGUCAUGGUUAAGUGGGAAACGAUGUGGGAAGGCCCAGACAGCCAGGAUGUUGGCUUAGAAGCAGCCAUCAUUUAAAGAAAGCGUAAUAGCUCACUGGUCGAGUCGGCCUGCGCGGAAGAUGUAACGGGGCUAAACCAUGCACCGAAGCUGCGGCAGCGACACUGUGUGUUGUUGGGUAGGGGAGCGUUCUGUAAGCCUGCGAAGGUGGCCUGUGAGGGUUGCUGGAGGUAUCAGAAGUGCGAAUGCUGACAUAAGUAACGAUAAAGCGGGUGAAAAGCCCGCUCGCCGGAAGACCAAGGGUUCCUGUCCAACGUUAAUCGGGGCAGGGUGAGUCGACCCCUAAGGCGAGGCCGAAAGGCGUAGUCGAUGGGAAACGGGUUAAUAUUCCCGUACUUGGUGUUACUGCGAAGGGGGGACGGAGAAGGCUAUGUUGGCCGGGCGACGGUUGUCCCGGUUUAAGCGUGUAGGCUGGUUUUCCAGGCAAAUCCGGAAAAUCAAGGCUGAGGCGUGA
rnacentral:rRNA from 1 species